rnacentral:rRNA from 1 species
CCUACGGGAGGCUGCAGUGGGGAAUAUUGGACAAUGGGCGAAAGCCUGAUCCAGCCAUGUCGCGUGUGUGAAGAAGGCCUUCGGGUUGUAAAGCACUUUCAGUGGGGAAGAAAGCCUUGGGGCUAAUACCCUCGAGGAAGGACAUCACCCACAGAAGAAGCACCGGCUAACUCCGUGCCAGCAGCCGCGGUAAUACGGAGGGUGCGAGCGUUAAUCGGAAUUACUGGGCGUAAAGCGCGCGUAGGCGGUCUGAUAAGCCGGUUGUGAAAGCCCCGGGCUCAACCUGGGAACGGCAUCCGGAACUGUCAGGCUAGAGUGCAGGAGAGGAAGGUAGAAUUCCCGGUGUAGCGGUGAAAUGCGUAGAGAUCGGGAGGAAUACCAGUGGCGAAGGCGGCCUUCUGGACUGACACUGACGCUGAGGUGCGAAAGCGUGGGUAGCAAACAGGAUUAGAUACCCUAGUAGUA